AUACAUCGCACUCCGUUCUCGACCCUAGGGGAAGAACGCUCAUAUUAUACCAAGACCUACCGCUGGGGCAACCCUUCGUAGUCUAGGUGACUCUGGAUAUUAAUCAGUCAAUCGAAUGGCCUCAUGCUGUCGAUGUAUCUUUCAAGCGUAUGCCCUAUCACCUGUCGACGUUAGGUUAACAGCCUAUCGUGGGGGUAACGGGUAGCGGGGAAUCAGGGUUCGAUUCCGGACAGUGCGCAUGAGAAAUGGCGACCACGUCCAAGGAAGGCCGCAUGCGCGCAAAUUACCCAAUGCCGACACGGCUAGGUAGUGACCAAAAAUACCCCUACCGGACUCUUCUUGAGGCCUCGUAUUUGGAA
rnacentral:rRNA from 1 species